UACGGGGGGAGCAAGCGUUGUUCGGAUUUACUGGGCGUAAAGGGCGCGUAGGCGGCCACCGCAAGUCAGUUGUGAAAUCUCUGGGCUUAACCCAGAAAGGUCAACUGAUACUGCGGGGCUAGAGUGCAGAAGGGGCAACUGGAAUUCUCGGUGUAGCGGUGAAAUGCGUAGAUAUCGAGAGGAACACCUGCGGCGAAGGCGGGUUGCCGGGCUGACACUGACGCUGAACUGCGAAAGCUAGGGGAGCGAACGGG
rnacentral:rRNA from 1 species